rnacentral:rRNA from 1 species
CAACAGGGAUUACCUCAGUAGCGGCGAGCGAAGCGGUAACAGCUCAAAUUUGAAAUCUGGCCCUUCCAGGGUCCGAGUUGUAAUUUGGAGAAGAUGCUUUGGGUGCGGCCCGGGUCUAGGUUCCUUGGAACAGGACGUCAGAGAGGGUGAGAAUCCCGUAUGUGAUUGGGUGCCCGCGCCCGUGUAAAGCUCUUUCGACGAGUCGAGUUGUUUGGGAAUGCAGCUCAAAAUGGGUGGUAUAUUUCAUCUAAAGCUAAAUAUGGGCCAGAGACCGAUAGCGCACAAGUAGAGUGAUCGAAAGAUGAAAAGCACUUUGGAAAGAGAGUUAAACAGUACGUGAAAUUGUUGAAAGGGAAGCGCUUGCACCCAGACUUGGGCGUGGCGGAUCAUCCGGUGUUCUCACCGGUGCACUCCGCCGCGCGCAGGCCAGCAUCGGUUUGGGUGGUUGGAUAAAGGCCGGGGGAAUGUGACUCCUCUCGGGGAGUGUUAUAGCCCUCGGUGCCAUGCAGCCUACCCAGACCGAGGACCGCGCUUCGGCUAGGAUGCUGGCGUAAUGGUUGCAAGCGACCCGUCUUGAAACACGGACCAAGGAGUCUAACAUCUAUGCGAGUGUUUGGGUGUCAAACCCAUACGCGGAAUUAACGUGAACGGAGGUGAGACCCCUUCAGGGUGCAUCAUCGACCGAUCCUGAUGUCUUCGGAUGGAUUUGAGUAAGAGCAUAGCUGUUGGGACCCGAAAGAUGGUGAACUAUGCCUAAAUAGGGUGAAGCCAGAGGAAACUCUGGUGGAGGCUCGCAGCGGUUCUGACGUGCAAAUCGAUCGUCAAAUUUGGGUAUAGGGGCGAAAGUAAGUUUUAAACCCUUUAUCCUGCUAUGUAUAACAACCUACUAACGUUCUAUAGGACUAAUCGAACCAUCUAGUAGCUGG